rnacentral:rRNA from 1 species
AAUCAACGCUGGCGGCGUGCCUAACACGUGCAAGUCGAACGCGAAAGUCCCGCAAGGGAUGAGUAGAGUGGCAAACGGGUGAGUAACGCGUGGGUGACCUGCCUUCGAGCGGGGGAUAACGUCCCGAAAGGGACGCUAAUACCGCAUAACAUCCCGCUUUUCUAACAAGUGGAGAUCAAAGCUGGGGAUCGCAAGACCUAGCACUCGAAGAGGGGCCCGCGUCUGAUUAGCAGUUGGUGAGGUAACGGCUCACCAAGGCGACGAUCAGUAUCCGGCCUGAGAGGGCGGACGGACACACUGGGACUGAGACACGGCCCAGACUCCUACGGGAGGCAGCAGUGGGAAUAUUGCGCAAUGGGCGUAAGCCUGACGCAGCGACGCCGCGUGGGGGA